rnacentral:rRNA from 1 species
GACGAACGCUGGCGGCGUGCUUAACACAUGCAAGUCGAGCGGUAAGGCCCUUUCGGGGGUACACGAGCGGCGAACGGGUGAGUAACACGUGGGUGACCUGCCCUCAGCUCUGGGAUAAGCCUGGGAAGCUGGGUCUAAUACCGGAUAUGACUCCAUGACGCAUGUUGUGGGGUGGAAAGCCUUGUGCGGCUGAGGAUGGGCCCGCGGCCUAUCAGCUUGUUGGUGGGGUGAUGGCCUACCAAGGCGACGACGGGUAGCCGGCCUGAGAGGGCGACCGGCCACACUGGGACUGAGACACGGCCCAGACUCCUACGGGAGGCAGCAGUGGGGAAUCUUGCGCAAUGGGCGAAAGCCUGACGCAGCGACGCCGCGUGAGGGAUGACGGCCU